CUCUAGUGAGCAUGCUCUAUUGGCACUGGGGCCCAUAGAGCAACUUUCAUAGGAAUGAACAGGACCCUGCCUCCAACACUGUGUCCAGCGUUGUUCGUCAUGAAAUAAAGGGACAGGUUGACACAUGCACUGUACUGCACUGAAAAGCCCAUUGAGAUAGUCUGUGUGCAUACUACCUUCCACACCAUGUGCUCAAGCUGUAAAGACUGAUAAUUAGACGGGUAGUCAACUCCUUUACUUGAAGAGUUUACCAAAUUUUAUGUAAACAGUGUCACGGCUCUUGUCAAUCACAUGUAUUUGUCUUUUUGAUAUCAUUAUAUUAUUAUACAUCCAUUAUAUUGUUAUACAUCCAUGGUGUCGUGUCACAGAGAUGAUUGGUUGGGGUUGUCACCCUGCUGUGAGUCAUCACAUAACUGCCACAGGCUUUUUAAGACAUUCUGUCCAAUAAGGACAGAGUGGAAAUAUUAUAGUCUCUCAGCCACAUCAGCACACAUGCAUAAUUGCUGUUCUGGCUAACAUAAAAUCUUUUCAUUACAUUCAGGAUGCUUGCCCUUUUCAUAAGAUUUAUCAUUUUUCACAACACUGUACUUUAAUGAAUAAUUACUUCAGUGGAAGCACUGUGUUAUAUCACUGGAAGGAUAGUGUGACCACAGCCAGUGUCAUAAAGUUGACAGUGAAACAGACAGAAUUGCAUCAGCUGGGCUCAUUUUCAGAUGUGAACCCUGGGCUAAACUGACUGGAGCCCUUAACAAGGGCUCAUUACCUCCAAUCAAUAUUACCAGUGUUUGUAAGUUUCCGUUGGUGUUGCAUGAGCCGUCAUCGCAAAAGUGAAACUUGUGUGUACUCGUGUUUUGCAAACCCCCCUCUAAGAAGACUGCAGGUGGAACUUUCCUGUAUCUCUGAGUCGCCAUCGUCAUUAAUAUGACAGACACCAGCCACCAGCCACCAGCUGUCCACUUGUCAUCUCCUUUACCUCCUUACCUACCGGAGAAUGACAGCAUUGUCCUGGAAUGACAUUUAUAAGGCAUCCAGAUGGGUCAACAACAGGCUGAGACACAAACCUCAUGCAUGUGUGGGUCCACCAUGGGUAGGCUGAUGCAUAAACUCACCCUAUGACUGCACCAGGAUAACCUGGAAACAGCCAGCUGGAAACUGGC